GAUGAACGCUGGCGGCGUGCUUAACACAUGCAAGUCGAACGAAGAUGCCGGAGUGCUUGCACUUUGGCAGACUGAGUGGCGGACGGGUGAGUAACGCGUGGGUAACCUGCCUUAUACAGGGGGAUAACAGUUGGAAACGACUGCUAAUACCGCAUAAGCGCACGGUAUCGCAUGAUACAGUGUGAAAAACUCCGGUGGUAUAAGAUGGACCCGCGUCUGAUUAGCUAGUUGGUGAGGUAACGGCCCACCAAGGCGACGAUCAGUAGCCGGCCUGAGAGGGUGAACGGCCACAUUGGGACUGAGACACGGCCCAAACUCCUACGGGAGGCAGCAGUGGGGAAUAUUGCACAAUGGGGGAAACCCUGAUGCAGCGACGCCGCGUGAGUGAUGAAGUAUUUCGGUAUGUAAAACUCUAUCAGCAGGGAAGAUAAUGACGGUACCUGACUAAGAAGCACGGCUAAAUACGUGCCAGCAGCCGCGGU
rnacentral:rRNA from 1 species